rnacentral:tRNA from 1 species
GCGGGAGUUCCCAAGCCAGGUCAAAGGGGGAGGACUCAAGAUCCUCUGGCGUAGGCCUUCGUGGGUUCAAAUCCCACCUCCCGCA